rnacentral:rRNA from 1 species
UACGUAGGUGGCGAGCGUUGUCCGGAUUUACUGGGCGUAAAGAGCGCGCAGGCGGUCGUUCAAGUCGCGUGUGAAAGCCCCCGGCUCAACUGGGGAGGGUCACGCGAUACUGAUCGACUCGAAGGCAGGAGAGGGAAGUGGAAUUCCCGGUGUAGUGGUGAAAUGUGUAGAUAUCGGGAGGAACACCAGUGGCGAAGGCGGGACUCUGGGCCGAUACUGACGCUGAGGAGCGAAAGCGUGGGGAGCGAACAGG